GACGGAGGGUGCAAGCGUUGUUCGGAUUGACUGGGCGUAAAGGGCGUGUAGGCGGUCGGCCAAGUCUGAUGUGAAAGCCCGAGGCUCAGCCUCGGAAGUGCGUCGGAAACUAGUCGGCUGGAGCGCGAUAGAGGAGGGUGGAAUUCCUGGUGUAGCGGUGAAAUGCGUAGAUAUCGGGAAGAACACCCGUGGCGAAGGCGGCUCUCUGGGACGGUACCGACGCUGAGACGCGAAAGCGUGGGGAGCGAACAGG
rnacentral:rRNA from 1 species